GUAAGGAAUAUUGGACAAUGGACGCAAGUCUGAUCCAGCCAUGCCGCGUGAAGGAUUAAGGUCCUCUGGAUUGUAAACUUCUUUUAUAAGGGACGAAAAAAGGCUUUUCUAAGUCGUCUGACGGUACCUUAUGAAUAAGCACCGGCUAACUCCGUGCCAGCAGCCGCGGUAAUACGGAGGGUGCAAGCGUUAUCCGGAUUCACUGGGUUUAAAGGGUGCGUAGGCGGGCUGGUAAGUCAGUGGUGAAAUCCUAGAGCUUAACUCUAGAACGGCCAUUGAUACUAUCUGUCUUGAAUAUUGUGGAGGUAAGCGGAAUAUGUCAUGUAGCGGUGAAAUGCUUAGAUAUGACAUAGAACACCUAUUGCGAAGGCAGCUUACUACGCAUAUAUUGACGCUGAGGCACGAAAGCGUGGGGAUCAAACAGGAUUAGAUACCCGGGUAGUCC
rnacentral:rRNA from 1 species